AAAGUUCGAACGGGGAGAUUCAAUUGCCUCGCCGGUUAUGACCAUUUAACAGUGAUGUGUUUAUGAUAUAUAUUUGAGACAUUAUAUGGCGGUUGCGGGUUUAUUCUCGUAGCUGUUUCUGUAUAGUGCUCCACUGUUUUAUGAUAUAUAGUUUAUAGCCGGAGGCGUGCACUUCUCCCCUUGUAGGACGUCGUGACCCAUUGGAUUAUGUUGUCUAAGGCUUAUAAUGGAGACCGUGGCAUUAAGUUUCGGCUUUAAUGACCCGGACUUAUAAUGUCCCGACAUCUAUCCGAUGGUAUAAUUAUGAUGAUAGAUCGCUAUAAAUGUGAUAUGAGCGUUCAGAUCCAUAACAAAUUCUUUUUAUGAAAUAGUGGAAAUCGGAUUUAAUGCCGAUUCUACACAUAUAGUAUUGAUAGUUGUGGUAUUCUCGAACCGUUCUUUAUCAUCAGUCAACGGCGUUUAUGUUUUGGGUAAUUACAGGACCCGUCUUGAAACACGGACCAAGGAGUCUAGCAUGUGCGCAAGUCAUUGGGACUUUGUGAAACCUAAAGGCGUAAUGAAAGUGAAAUAUUUGUGAAUUUUCGUAAUUCACUGAAUUUAAGGGAAGAUGGGUAACGUUUUUUAUGUUACCUCGCAUUCCCGGGGCGUCGCGUACUUAUUGCAAGUUGCGGCGCACCAAGAGCGUACACGCUGGGACCCGAAAGAUGGUGAACUAUGCCUGGUCAGGAUGAAGUCAGGGGAAACCCUGAUGGAGGUCCGUAGCGAUUCUGACGUGCAAAUCGAUCGUAUGAACUGGGUAUAGGGGCGAAAGACUAAUCGAACCAUC
rnacentral:rRNA from 1 species